rnacentral:rRNA from 1 species
CAAUAGCGUAUAUUAAAGUUGUUGCAGUUAGAACGCUCGUAGUCGGAUUUCGGGGCGGGCCGACCGGUCUGCCGAUGGGUAUGCACUGGUCGGCGCGUCCUUCCUUCCGGAGACCGUCCCUACUCUUAACUGAGCGGGGGCGGGAGACGGGACUUUUACUUUGAAAAAAUCAGAGUGUUUCAAGCAGGCAGCACGCUCUUGCAUGGAUUAGCAUGGGAUAAUGAAAUAGGACUUUGGUGCUAUUUUGUUGGUUUCGAACACCGAAGUAAUGAUGAGAAGGGACAGUCAGGGGCACUCGUAUUCCGCCGAGAGAGGUGAAAUUCUCAGACCAGCGGAAGACGAACCACUGCGAAAGCAUUUGCCAGGGAUGUUUUCACUGA